UGAACAUAACCCUCAUUCUUCCCAACCCUCCCUCUCAUCGAGCUCACCGGGAAAAGGAGAAAACGAAACAGCAGAACCGUCGGAGCAGCCCCUGUCACCAUCAUCGCCGCUGCUGUGAACCACUGUCGUCGUCAGCUGUUGCUUCCGUCGGUCAUCUCCGACCAGCCUCAUCACCUCUUGCGACCCCUGAUUUCGGCCACCUAGUACCUUUGUAAAACUUCAUCAGAUGGACGGAACACCAAGAGCUUCUAUAAAACCCAGAUUGCAAAUGUAGAUUCGAGUAUAAGGAAGCAAAAAAGAAAAGUGAAAGAGCAAUGGGACCUCCGUCGAAUCUAGAUCCAAUGAUUGCAUACCCAGAAAAUCUCGACCUCUAUAUCAGUCCCGAUCUCCUCAAUGACAUUCUUCUCUUGUCCCGAUCUCCUCCACCUGCAAAUCGAUCUUGUUAAGCAACAAUGGUGCCACGACGGGUCGGCGAGAGAGAGGGAGAAGUCUAGAUAUAGUAGCUGCUUCACCAUGGUUGCCGGUGUGCUUGAUCGUUCCUCACCAACGUUCUUCACGGUUGAAGCACAGAUCUGUGCAGAUCUAAUUUAAGUCACAAGCCGAUGGUGCUUGAUCUGAUGAGAGAGAGACCCAUUGGAUAUUAAAUUUUAUUAUUUUUUUCUUUUUAAAAAAAAUAAAAGAAAAGAAAACCUCAUAAAAGGUCCCUGGAUAGUUAAAUGACGGAAAUACCUUUCAUUUAACGUAGAAAUCUAACAUAGUUAUCAAAAAGGACCAAACAUCAAAAGUUUUGAAAACACAGGGACCAUCUAUGAGGCUUUUAAACCACGGGGACUAAACUUCAGAUUUUAGGUAACCACAUGGACCAUUUAUGAUGUUUCUUCAUUAAUUAAUUAUAAUCGGAUGUUUGUUUUGUAA